rnacentral:rRNA from 1 species
AACGAACGCUGGCGGCAGGCCUAACACAUGCAAGUCGAGCGCCCCGCAAGGGGAGCGGCGGACGGGUGAGUAACGCGUGGGAAUAUGCCCUUUGCUACGGAAUAGUCUCGGGAAACUGGGGGUAAUACCGUAUACGCCCUUUGGGGGAAAGAUUUAUCGGCGAAGGAUUAGCCCGCGUUGGAUUAGGUAGUUGGUGGGGUAAUGGCCUACCAAGCCGACGAUCCAUAGCUGGUUUGAGAGGAUGAUCAGCCACACUGGGACUGAGACACGGCCCAGACUCCUACGGGAGGCAGCAGUGGGGAAUCUUAGACAAUGGGGGCAACCCUGAUCUAGCCAUGCCGCGUGAGUGAUGAAGGCCUUAGGGUUGUAAAGCUCUUUCAGCUGGGAAGAUAAUGACGGUACCAGCAGAAGAAGCCCCGGCUAACUCCGCG